UCCCCAGUAGCUCAGUUGGUAGAGCAGCUGACUGUUAAUCAGCUUGUCCGUGGUUCGAGUCCACGCUGGGGAGCCA
rnacentral:tRNA from 1 species